CCUACGGGAGGCAGCAGUAGGGAAUAUUGCGCAAUGGAGGAAACUCUGACGCAGCGACGCCGCGUGCGGGAUGAAGGCCUUCGGGUUGUAAACCGCUUUCAGUAGGGAAGAAGCGAAAGUGACGGUACCUACAAAAGAAGCACCGGCUAACUAUGUGCCAGCAGCCGCGGUAAUACAUAGGGUGCAAGCGUUGUCCGGAAUUAUUGGGCGUAAAGAGCUCGUAGGUCGUUUGUUACGUCGGAUGUGAAAAUCUGAGGCUCAACCUCAGACCUGCAUUCGA
rnacentral:rRNA from 1 species